UACGUAGGGUGCAAGCGUUGUCCGGAAUUAUUGGGCGUAAAGAGCUCGUAGGCGGUCUGUCGCGUCGGAUGUGAAAACUCGGGGCUCAACCCCGGGCCUGCAUUCGAUACGGGCAGACUAGAGUUCGGCAGGGGAGACUGGAAUUCCUGGUGUAGCGGUGAAAUGCGCAGAUAUCAGGAGGAACACCGGUGGCGAAGGCGGGUCUCUGGGCCGAAACUGGCGCUGAGGAGCGAAAGCGUGGGGAGCAAACAGG
rnacentral:rRNA from 1 species